rnacentral:rRNA from 1 species
AAACUAACAAGGAUUCCCCUAGUAGCGGCGAGCGAAGCGGGAAGAGCUCAAAUUUAUAAUCUGGCACCUUCGGUGUCCGAGUUGUAAUCUCUAGAAAUGUUUUCCGCGUUGGACCGCACACAAGUCUGUUGGAAUACAGCGGCAUAGUGGUGAGACCCCCGUAUAUGGUGCGGACGCCCAGCGCUUUGUGAUACAUUUUCGAAGAGUCGAGUUGUUUGGGAAUGCAGCUCAAAUUGGGUGGUAAAUUCCAUCUAAAGCUAAAUAUUGGCGAGAGACCGAUAGCGAACAAGUACCGUGAGGGAAAGAUGAAAAGCACUUUGGAAAGAGAGUUAACAGUACGUGAAAUUGUUGGAAGGGAAACGCUUGAAGUCAGACUUGCUUGCUGAGCAAUCGGUUUGCAGGCCAGCAUCAGUUUUCCGGGAUGGAUAAUGGUAGAGAGAAGGUAGCAGUUUCGGCUGUGUUAUAGCUCUAUGCUGGAUACAUCUUGGGGGACUGAGGAACGCAGUGUGCCUUUGGCGGGGGUUUCGACCUCUUCACACUU